UAACGGCUUACCANNNNNACGAUGUCUAGGGGUUCUGAGANNNGAAUCCCCCAACACUGGUACUGAGACACGGACCAGACUCCUACGGGAGGCAGCAGUAAGGAAUAUUGGUCAAUGGGCGGAAGCCUGAACCAGCCAUGCCGCGUGCAGGAUGACUGCNNNNUGGGUUGUAAACUGCUUUUGUCCAGGAAUAAACCUAUAUACGUGUAUUUAGCUGAAUGUACUGGAAGAAUAAGGAUCGGCUAACUCCGUGCCAGCAGCCGCGGUAAUACGGAGGAUCCGAGCGUUAUCCGGAUUUAUUGGGUUUAAAGGGUGCGUAGGCGGCCUAUUAAGUCAGGGGUGAAAUACGGUGGCUCAACCAUCGCAGUGCCUUUGAUACUGAUGGGCUUGAAUCCAUUUGAAGUGGGCGGAAUAAGACAAGUAGCGGUGAAAUGCAUAGAUAUGUCUUAGAACUCCGAUUGCGAAGGCAGCUCACUAAGCUGGUAUUGACGCUGAUGCACGAAAGCGUGGGGAUCGAACAGGAUUAGAUACCCUGGUAGUCCACGCCCUAAACGAUGAUAACUCGAUGUUGGCGAUAGACAGCCAGCGUCCAAGCGAAAGCGUUAAGUUAUCCACCUGGGGAGUACGCCCGCAAGGGUGAAACUCAAAGGAAUUGACGGGGGCCCGCACAAGCGGAGGAGCAUGUGGUUUAAUUCGAUGAUACGCGAGGAACCUUACCCGGGCUUGAAAGUUAGUGAAGAAUGCAGAGACGCAUUCGUCCUUCGGGACACGAAACUAGGUGCUGCAUGGCUGUCGUCAGCUCGUGCCGUGAGGUGUUGGGUUAAGUCCCGCAACGAGCGCAACCCCUAUGUUUAGUUGCCAGCAUGUAAUGGUGGGGACUCUAAACAGACUGCCUGUGCAAACAGUGAGGAAGGUGGGGACGACGUCAAGUCAUCAUGGCCCUUACGUCCGGGGCUACACACGUGCUACAAUGGAUGGUACAGCGGGCAGCUACAUAGCAAUAUGAUGCUAAUCUCUAAAAGCCAUUCANNNNNCGGAUUGGGGUCUGCAACUCGACCCCAUGAAGUGGAUUCG
rnacentral:rRNA from 1 species